CGCGUAGGAAUGUGUCCAGAGGUGGGGGACAACCCCGGGAAACUGGGGCUAAUACCGCAUAUGUCCUGAGGGACAAAGCAGUAAUGCGCCUUUGGAGCAGCCUGCGUCCGAUUAGGUAGUUGGUGGGGUAAUGGCCUACCAAGCCUGCGAUCGGUAGCUGGUCUGAGAGGACGAUCAGCCACACUGGGACUGAGACACGGCCCAGACUCCUACGGGAGGCAGCAGUGGGGAAUAUUGGACAAUGGGGGAAACCCUGAUCCAGCAAUGCCGCGUGUGUGAAGAAGGUCUUCGGAUCGUAAA
rnacentral:rRNA from 1 species